CGUAGGGUGCGAGCGUUAAUCGGAAUUACUGGGCGUAAAGCGUGCGCAGGCGGUUUAGUAAGACAGGCGUGAAAUCCCCGGGCUCAACCUGGGAACUGCGCUUGUGACUGCUAAGCUAGAGUACGGCAGAGGGGGGUGGAAUUCCACGUGUAGCAGUGAAAUGCGUAGAGAUGUGGAGGAACACCAAUGGCGAAGGCAGCCCCCUGGGUCGAUACUGACGCUCAUGCACGAAAGCGUGGGUAGCAAACAGGAUUAGAUACCCUGGUAGUCCACGCCCUAAACGAUGUCAACUAGGUGUUGGGAGGGUAAAACCUUUAGUACCGGAGCUAACGCGUGAAGUUGACCGCCUGGGGAGUACGGCCGCAAGGUUA
rnacentral:rRNA from 1 species